rnacentral:rRNA from 1 species
CGGCGAGUCAAGCGGCAAAAGCUCAAAUUUGAAAUCUGGCUCUUUCAGAGUCCGAGUUGUAAUUUGAAGAAGGUAUCUUUGGGUCUGGCUCUUGUCUAUGUUUCUUGGAACAGAACGUCACAGAGGGUGAGAAUCCCGUGCGAUGAGAUGAUCCAGGCCUAUGUAAAGUUCCUUCGAAGAGUCGAGUUGUUUGGGAAUGCAGCUCUAAGUGGGUGGUAAAUUCCAUCUAAAGCUAAAUAUUGGCGAGAGACCGAUAGCGAACAAGUACAGUGAUGGAAAGAUGAAAAGAACUUUGAAAAGAGAGUGAAAAAGUACGUGAAAUUGUUGAAAGGGAAGGGCUUGAGAUCAGACUUGGUAUUUUGUAUGUUACUUCUUCGGGGGUGGCCUCUACAGUUUAUCGGGCCAGCAUCAGUUUGGGCGGUAGGAGAAUUGCGUUGGAAUGUGGCACGGCUUCGGUUGUGUGUUAUAGCCUUCGUCGAUACUGCCAGCCUAGACUGAGGACUGCGGUUUAUACCUAGGAUGUUGGCAUAAUGAUCUUAAGUCGCCCGUCUUGACCC